rnacentral:rRNA from 1 species
AAGAAGCAAGACCGUGAGGUGGAGCAAAACUCAAAAACUUGUCUCAGUUCGGAUUGUAGGCUGAAACUCGCCUACAUGAAGCUGGAGUUGCUAGUAAUCGCGAAUCAGCAUGUCGCGGUGAAUACGUUCCCGGGCCUUGUACACACCGCCCGUCACACCAUGAGAGUUGGCAAUACCCAACGUACGUGAUCUAACCCGCAAGGGAGGAAGCGUCCUAAGGUAGGGUCAGCGAUUGGGGUGAAGUCGUAACAAGGUAUC